rnacentral:rRNA from 1 species
ACUUUCAACAACGAUCUCUUGGUUCGGCAUCGAUAGAACGCAGCAAAAUGCGAUAAGUAAGUAAUGCAGAAUCAGUGAAUCAUCGAAUCUUGAACGCACAUUGCCCCGCCAGUAUCUGCGGCAUGCUGUUCGAGCGUCAUUCAACCCUCAACCCAGCUUGGUUGGGACUGCAGUCCUGCUGCACUCCCCAAAUACAUGCGUCACGUCGACUCCAUAGCGUAUAAUUUACAUAUCGUUACUGUAAUCGUCGCGCACGCCGUUAAACCCCAACUUCGAAUGUGACCUCGGAUCAGUAGAAUACCCGCUGAACUUAAGCAUCAAAAGCGAGGAAAAGAAACCAACAGGAUGCCCUAUAACGGCGAGUGAAGCGCAACACUCAAAUUGAAAUCUGCUUCGGCCGAGUAUUGUAGAGAUAUUGAUGCGUGCCUUCCGAUCCCUGAACGGACGCAUAGAGUGAAGCCCGUCUGUGAGCCAAAUCUCUGAAAUCCUCGACAGUCGAUAUUGGAAUCGCCAAUGGAGAAGUCUCAAAGCAAAACCGCCAGACCGAUACGCACAAGAAUGAUCGAAAGAUGAAAAGCACUGAAAAAAGUAAAAAACGUAAAUGUGAAAGGAACGUUAGACCAACUGCUGUUAAUCAUCGUUCUCUCCAUGCACUUUCCAGCCAGCAGCAUCAGUUUCGCCGGGAAAAGACUCGGAUGUGUCCCUCGGAGGUUAUAGCCUUGUAAUACCGGGGACGAGUUCGCGCUUCGCAAGAGCUGAAUGCAUCAACGACCGUCUGAAACACGGACCAAGAUCGUCUUCGUAUGCGAGUUCGGUGUCAAACCCUACGCGUAAUGAAAGUGAACGCAGGUGAAGCUCGGCGCAUCAUCGACCGAUCUAGUUCCGAUGAUUGAGUAAGAGAUACGGCCGACCGAAAGAAGUAACAUCCUGGGUGAACCAGAGAAACUGGGAGCUCGCAGCGUCUGACGUGCAAAUCGAUCGUCAAACAUGGCAGGGCAAAGACUAACGAACCUAUACUGGUUCCCCGAAGUCCCUCAGAAGCAGUGAACUCAGUUAUGAGUAAAGCGAAUAUAGGACUCGGGGCUAUUAGCUUCAUCCAUCUCAAACUUAAAUAUAAAAGCUCUUUCUAAUGAACGUGAGCAUCGAAGUAUCAAACUAGUGGCCAUUUGGUAAGCAAAGGCGAUGCGGAUAACGAACCGAGUAAGUGCAGAGUAGACCUCAUCAGACACACAAAAGGUUUAGUACAUCUGACAGCAGACGUGCCAUGAAGUCGAAUCCGCUAAGACGUGUAACAACUCACCUCGAAUGUACUAGCCCUGAAAAUGGAUGCGCUCAAGCGUCUCACCCAUACCUCGCCUCAGGUAGAAACGAAGCCUGAGGAGUAGGCGACGGAGUCAUGACGAAGCUAGGCUGAGCCCGGUUGAACGCUCUAGGCAGAUCUGGUGUAGAGCAAAUACUCAAUGAGAACUUGAAGACCGAAGGGGAAGUCCAUGAACACGGUUGACAGGUAGUCGAUCUAAGCUAUAGGAAGUUCCGUUUCAAAGCGCACUUGCGCCGUCUAGCGAAAGGGACCGUCAAUAUCGGCACCUGGAUGGUUGCGCGGCAACGCAACUGAACGUGAGACGACGGCGGGGCCCCAAGCAGAUUCUCUUUCUCUAACAGUCUCUCACCCUGAAAUCGUUGUCCGACUAGGUUAAUGCUGAAACCGCACCUCGCCGGUUGGUGCGCUCUCGACGUCCUUGAAAAUCACGGAAGAAAUAAUCUCACGCAGUCGUACCAUAACCGCAGCAGUCUCCAAGGAACAGCCUCUGUGAUAGAACAAGUAAUAAGGAAGUCGGCAAAUAGAUCCGUAACUUCGGAAAAGGAUGGCUCUAAGGUUGGCACGUUGGCCUUGGCGACGUCCUGGAGCAGCCGCACUAGCGGCAACCGACGGAGGCGGCCAGCACCGGUGCUGAUGCCCUUGCAGCUCGCCGUCCGCGCGUAACAACCAACUAGAACUGGACGGACAAGGGAAUCUGACUGUCUAAUAAACAUAGCAUGCGAGGCAGAAAGUGGUUGACGCAAUGAUUCUGCCCAUGCCUGAAUUCAAAGUGAAGUAUUCAACCAAGCGCGGUAAACGCGGGAUAACUAUGACUCCUAAGUACCAAUGCCUCGUCAUCUAAUAUGACGCGCAUGAAUGAUAACGAGAUCCCACUGUCCCUAUCACUAUCUAGCGAAACCACAGCCAAGGAACGGCUUGGCAGAACAGCGGGAAGAAGACCCUGUUGAGCUUGACUCUAGUUGACAUGUGAAAAACAUAGGAGGUGUAGAAUAGUGGAGCUUCGGCGCCGGUAAAUACCACUACUCUAUUUUUUUACUUUCAAUGAGCGGCUGAUUACGUCAAUCUGGUUUAAGUUCGCGGCCGACCCGGUGAAGACAUUGUCAGUGGGGUUGGCUGGGCGCACAUCUGUUAAACAUAACGCAGUCCAAGGGCCAUGGAACAAAAUCCAUAAAAAAAGGUAAAAGCCCUUAUUGAUUCAGUGUAAUACAACAUGAAGGGCUAUCAUCUAGUCCCGAAUUGAGCAGAGUGCAAAAGUACACAGAAAGCUUGGCGCAACGUAUACGACUCGUUUGAUCCUCAUCGCUCUCCUAUCGAAGCAGAAUCGGUAAGCGUUGGAUGUCCCCACUAAUAGGAACGAGCUGUUAGACCGCGUGAGACAGUUAUUAUGAACCAGCAAAUCAGCUAGACGAUAGAAGCCGCACCGCAAGCGCGAACUACAGCUAUAAGUAACGCAGAGAAAGCUGAUACAACUAGAUGACAAAAAUGGUUUACGGCGAUAGCCCGAAGGCGUGGAUCGCUAUGAACACACAGGGUCAAUCCGCAACACUGCUGAACGCCGUCAAGUCGUGUUACGAUCCGAGUAAGCCUUGAUUACCGACCCGCGACGUAGACAUGGCUCAAGCAUAUGCGUCUGCAGUGCCUCAGUAGGCAUCGACUGAGAAUCAGUCGGUCGUCUUUCACCGGUGCUGCGCUUCGUCGU